UACGUAGGGGGCUAGCGUUGUCCGGAUUUAUUGGGCGUAAAGAGCGUGUAGGCGGCCAGGUAGGUCUGCUGUGAAAACUCGAGGCUCAACCUCGAGACGUCGGCGGAAACCAUCUGGCUAGAGUCCGGAAGAGGAGAGUGGAAUUCCUGGUGUAGCGGUGAAAUGCGUAGAGAUUGGGAAGAACACCGGUGGCGAAAGCGCUCUACUGGGCCUGCACUGACACUGAGGGACGAAAGCUAGGGGAGCGAAAGGG
rnacentral:rRNA from 1 species